rnacentral:misc_RNA from 1 species
CAAUACGUGUAUAAACUAUUACGUGCAUGGCCCGCACAUUUGCUCUGCCGGGCCGUUCAUGCAUGAUCAGUCAUGCGGCUCGUUAACUGAUUCCGCGCGAUCAACUGGUGGUAUGGUAGCGAUCUCUGGUGAUGGUUAAAACCAUUUACAAGUCACAAAAUAGCCGAAAAUGGUGGAGUAGGACUUCGGUAUACAUUUAUAAUUCAUUCAUAGUGUUGCAUGGGGGUCUUUCUUCAUCGUGAUUGACCAACAGGACAGAUGAAGAGUUUCAGAAGUCCGACGGAAUGACGAUAUUUAUGGAGUCCUGGGACGAAUUUAGCAGGACCGUAACGCGCGCUCUACUAUACUCCGUGCUGUACCGUCUGUUGAUACAACUUUACCGUACAAAAUGUGUGCAGUCACGCCCACACUAGCAACUCACGGAGUACAUCAGACUGCCCAACCCCAUUCGAGGAAAUCCAAGUGUUAAGGUGGCUAAAAACACGCCGUCGUUCAAGCACUUUUCUGCCUGAAAUCGUCAAAUUUAGGAGUUGACAAUAUGGAAAGUAGCAGUGUGAUGAUAAUUAUUGGUGCCUGCUUAGCUAUUGGCGGCAAUCUACUCAUCAGUGUGUCUAUGAAUAUUCAGAAAUAUGCUCUAACAAGACUGGAGAACCAAGGCUUUCAUGCAGAGACAAGUCACGAUUACCUCAAAAGCAGGUUAUGGUGGCUUGGUAUCAUCAUGAUGGUUUGUGGGGAAGUUGGUAACUUCAUGGCCUAUGGCUUUGGCCCUGCAACUGUAGUUGCUCCGCUGGGCACAACGACAGUAGUAGCAAAUGCAUACAUUGCAAUCGUCUUCUUAGGAGAAAAGCUCAGAGCUCGGGAUGUUCUGGGGACAUAUCUUAUCAUCGUAGGUGCUUUUCUCAUAGUGGUGUUUUCAACACAGAGUAACACCAGAUUAUCAGCUUUGCAGAUCAGUGAACAUCUACUAAAGCCAGCAUUUCUAGUUUAUUUGGGAGUAGAAGUUAUUGUUUUUAUCGCUGUGAAUGUAGUCAUUCAUUACUAUGGGGCUCUUCAUGUGAUUUUAUUCAUUCUACCUGCAGCUAUUCUUGCUUCUCUGACAGUGAUCAGUUCCAAGGCUGUCUCAGGCAUGAUAACUAUGACUGCUGCCGGUGAAAGCCAGCUCAUGUAUGCUGUCUUCUACAUUAUGAUCGUAGUCAUCCUAGUCACAGGUGUAAUACAAAUAAGAUAUGUGACGCGAGCUAUGCAGGCAUUUCAGGCCACUGUAGUUGUACCAACAUUCUUUGUAUUUUUUACUGUCAGUGCCAUAUUAGCAGGUAUUUUUUUCUACGGGGAAUUCAACGGUCUUACAUUUGUACAAAUUGUAAUGUUUCUAUUUGGGUGCUUUUGUUCAUUCCUGGGAGUGUACUUCAUCACUCAGGGACGGACUGGUGAAAACUCACCACCGCUAGACAGCCAAUAUCAAACAGGACCACCAAAGGCUUUAAUGCCAAUAUGUCCCUUCCCAUGCACCAAUCAUCUCGUUCAACCAUCAGAUGAUGACGACGAUGAUAAUCCCAGAGAGGUGGAGAUGAAAUCCUUAGUGGAAGGAGAUGAAACUGACACCUCCAAGCUGAUAAUGUCCAAUGGUACGGGAAAGUCACUCUUCAAUCCUUCUCUACAGAUGACCAGUCUGGACACAAAGACAAAAACAUCACUACAUAUGUCUGAUUUCACAAAAGACUCAGAAAAGCGAGGGACAUCCACCAAAGAUGACACAACAUGACUGAUGUCUACAGAUGUCUGAUUUCACAAAAGACUCAGAAAAGCCAGGGACAUCCACCAAAGAUGACACAACAUGACCUGAUCAGUGAUAUCCUGAUUCUGAGAGCUUGUACGUUCCAUUUGUCUGGCAAAGUCACCUGAAUUCAAUUUGCACUUUUAUGUGAACGGAAAGGUCCGCGUACAUGUACCGAACAAUGCCAUGGUGUACUCAAUAGAGGCCUUGCUUGGUAGCCAUUUUGCUUGGCACGUCUUGUGUGCCACAGGGAAACCUCCUUUGUGCAUACCCUUUUGUUCAAAACGUUGGCCUCCAAGAUGGCAUCUAUGCAAACCCUCUAUAGCAGCAGUUUACUGCCUCACCAUUCAUUGGGGUCUCUCUUAAUAAUUGACUUGCAGGAAACCAGAUGGCACUAGUCGGUCUUUAUCAAAUGUGUAAUCUAUGACCAUUUAUACUGUUUUCAGUGGCAACUGAUACACUGUGUAUGGUCACAUUGGUUGAAAAGAGUAAUGUUGGUGAGGAAUGACUGCAAUGCUUGUGGUUCAUAUAUAUCCAUGAAUAUCCAACGGUUUGUCAACCAUUGGAUAUUCAGGUCCCACCAAAGGAGCCUCUCUUGCUUGGGACAUUGUGCCCUAUCUUGGUCCAGCUCGGGGGCCAUAGGCCAGACAGAAUAGGUGUUAGAAAGUUUAUACAAGUAACCAUUGGCCCAAGUGCAUAUGAAAAUGUGAUUGGAGAGUCAGAAAGCCAUGCUUUGAAACCAGAGAGUCCUGGAUGUAAAUCUGAAGGCUACAUUUUGUUAGUAUAUGUUUUAGAUCAUUAUCUGGUCCAAAAUCAUUCAUAUAAAUACAAGUAACUGUAUUUUCUAACUCCGCGUCUCCCUGUUAACAUGGGUACUUGGUAAUUUAAUCAAGUAUAAAAUAUGUGUAUAUAUAGAUUUUCUAAUCUCGGUCAUAUUCAUCAGUAUAAAUAUUUUUUCACUAAAAACAGUUGGUAUUAUAUUAGAGGCCUCUUGAUCUAAAUUAAACUUGACAUUCAUAAGGGAAAAGCCAUGGAAUCAUGAAUAUGAUUAAAAGCUGAUUGUAUUUUUCAGAAAAAUGUUACACCUUGAAAAGUCAUCUUUUGUUUUCUUGUAGUAUCACAGGGCUUUUACUUCGAGCAACCAUCAAACUAUAUGAACUCAUCUCUCUUGAUAACAUGUUGAAGUGUUAGUUCAGCUUUUUUCAUUGCUGAGCACAAGCUUAUAUUUUUUAUAAAUGAAAUUUUUUGCCAUCAGGGUAUUUAACGUGGAAACCUUUAUUUUCCGGUUUUUAGACUAUGCUAGCUUGUGAAAGAAGUUCCGUAGUUUAGUGUUUGGCAAUAAUAUAUUGUCUAUUGUCUACACUUUUAACAAUAGCAUCAUCAUACAUUUCUGUGCAAUGUUGGACUGGCCACUGCCUUCAACGAAAGAGACAAGAAGUUCUUAAUGUAGCAAACUCUUGAGGUUAAGCGUUUUUCUACCAUCUUUCUUGAGCUCAGUGUGAGGUAUUAAUUUAUGGCACGUUGUCCAUGGGUUACGAAGUUUUUUUUAACUUGAGUCACCGUAAACAUGCAAGUUGUUUAUAAAAAUUAUAAAGAGAUGAUUAGUGAAUGAAUUUAAGGACAAGGUAAGAAAUCCAGUUGCAUGCAAACAUGUACACUGUGUGAUACAUGAAAUAAUGUUCAGAAUGCCGAGUUAAGCUUUUGACAUGCAUCGCUGCAGCUCUUUUAUUUGUGGUCUUGAAUAUUUUUAUCUGACGUGUGAUCUAUCUAUUACUGGUUUUAUGAUAUCAAGGUGCUGUACUGUAGUGCAGAUAUUACCAAAAAGCCCUCUGAGCGUCCUGCUGGUAAUAAACUUGUACUGUUGCUUUGUGUGAUGUUAUGUUCAAUGUUCACAUCUCGGACUUCUUUGUUUGCAACUCAAAAGGUGUUUGUUUAGUAAGGAGACACAGGUAGGACUUACAAUGGAUUACACAGGACUUUGGACAUGUAUUUGGUUGGCUUAUCCUUGACAUGUUCUUCUGUAGGGAAGCUACAGACUGGGUUGAGUGUACUGUUCAAUAGGCAUAACAGAGUUUUUAUAGGUGCUUCUAUGGCUGUCUUAAAUUACAACUUCUGGUUGCAGGUUCUGCAUUUAUGGAGCAGUAAUCAGACAAACUGAUUGUCAGAGAUUAAAAGUACUGGGGGUUACUGAGGAUUUAUCUAAACCAAAAACUGCUGUUUUAAUAUUUAGAACAAAUAUAUUUGUACUAAGGCAAAGGGGGAUCAUAUAUUGGUUUCCCCUCCUACACAUGAACAACCCUCCAUAACCAAAGGAGAAUUCUUAUGCAAUUGUCACUAAUCUUCAGUAAUACAUCCUCCAUCAUCAGUUGUGAAAUUGUGCAAAGAUAAUUGCACAACUUUAAAAAUAAAACUCAAGUAGUUAUUAAAGGGUGUUUAGAGGCAAAUUUGAUAAAAUUGUAAUUGAUCUGUAUUUAGAAACAUGUACACGUAAAAAAUGUCAAAUGUGAUGGGUGAAAUACUUUUGUAUUCCUGUAAGAAAUGGAUAUUUUUGAGAAAGAA